CAACCCACUGAGCGAGGCCAGGGAUCGAACCCGCAACCUCAUGGUUCCUAGUCGGAUUCGUUAACCACUGCGCCACGACGGGAAAUCCGCCAGAGGUUUUCAAAGUCCCCUCUGGACAUUUAUUCCCCAGGUCUUCCUUUCACGGCCACAGGAUUUCGCUGUGGUCCCAAGGCUGCUGUAUAAUUUUUUCCAUUUUAUUUUCUAACAGCGAUUAGCGUUGGUGUGUAAGACACAGGAAUGUCAACGUUUCUCGACUGGCCCUUUACUCCGCGUCCCAUGCUGAACAUAAGCAGCGUGCUGCUGAGAGGCUCUAACAGGGAGGCGGACCCUGGGUGGGGGGUUACUUGAGACCCCGAGAAAAGCAGCUUGGUGCUGCAGCGCAGGGGUGGGUGUCAGCCAGGCGGGCAUUGAAGGAGAGGUGGGAGGCACUGGGAUGGGAAGGAGGGUGGGGCCGGAGGAAGCAUCCAGGAGGCGGCGGCAUUGGCAGGAGGAAGCCUGGCCUCAGAGCCACGGUUGGUCAGUCCUUGGUUUGUAUUCUCAGAACAAUGGAACUCCUGCAGCACGCGGAGGGGUCAGGGCUGUGCUUCCAAAGGCCGCGCCAAGGACGCCAGGUGACGCUGGGCUCCAGGCUCCGCUCAGAGGCGUCAAGACAGACAGACAGUUAUCUUUCGGAUGAGCUGUUUUAGAAACUGAGAGUCUGCGGGAGCAAUGAGGGUCGAACCGGCCGUAACAUCAAUGACCGGAUGCAGUUCUUUUGAAAACCCAAGAAUUCACGAACAGCAAAUACAAAUACUUCCCCGUGUCUACUUUUCAGAGCAUCUCUAAACAUUUCACUUCAAAAGACAAAGAACACAGGUGAGCGAACAUAAAAGUUUUAUUGAAUAAAUACAUGCAUUGUCAUGGAAAAUUAGUUGGGCAGAAAGGACCUCCUACAACCCCACCGACAAAAAACCCUCUGCCGCGUUCCGUCUGCAGCGGGGGGACCAGCGAGACUGGAGUUAAAGCAACAACCACAGGAUAAACACACACAGGCGGAUGUGCAUUUGGCUUAGGUUUUGGCAAAGGAGGGCCAACCUCCUGAUGAGGAGCAUCUGUACGGAGUAGACUGUGGCGAGUACAGCUCAGAGGCCUCUUCCGUUUUCACCUGAAGCAAUACCUCAUUCCUCCUACUUUAAGGCACAGGAUGAGCCACAAAGUGACAGAAUUCAAAUUCCUGAAUGUUAAUCAUCCCUCCAUGGGUUUGGUUCCAUGUAGAAAAGUUCAAGUUCCCUUUUCCUAGAAGAACUGACUAUUAAGCACUGGUGAUGAAGGCCUGGGGAACAGAGGGGGGCGCGGGGUCUGGCCUCGGGGUGAGGCUCAGCUGUCCCCCAGGACAGAGGUUCCCUCUGAAGGCCCAUCGGCCAUGCAGACAGACUCCUACCUGGGACGGGUUCUGGGCCCUUCCAACCAUCCCCUUGCUUCCCUUCUUUCCUUUUAGAGAGAAGGGAGCUGGCUGCUGGGUCUGGGUCCAGCCCCCGCCGUCCACAGAGGGUGGGUGCCGUGCUGCGAACGGGCUUGGUUUGGUUUCUAUCAUCUUGCCUAAUGGCUUAAAUAAAGCAUUCUCUCCAGGAAAGCCCGACUGAACAGGCGACACGUGUGCCACAAAACCUCUAAGGUGGGGAUGCUGGCAGAAAUCACUGGUCUCAUAAAUUUCAACAAGUGUUUCUCUCCUUUUAGAAGGUGUGCCAGAAGCCCGUCAACAAACCUAACUUUUAAAAAAUCCCCAGUACAUCGAAUGCCAUGGGCAGGCAAGCAGAGGUCGUAAUCACCUGCCUCUUACUACCGAGAGGGCAGGGUGAGGCAUUCGAGAGCAGCGCCCGGCGGCCCGCACGUCCACCGGCUUCCUCGGCGCCGACAGAGGAGGGAAAGGGGUCUCGCUGAGGCUGCAGAGGGCCCUGGUCUUCAGGAUCACAGCUGAGACCCCACCGCACACGGACCCACGGCUCAAAGUGUAAACAGAAACAGAGCUGCAGGCGGCCGGAGAGCAGGAGGUGCCGGGGCAGCGACGGCAGCCACGCAGGCCCUUGGCGGGUCUGGUCACGCAGGGGUCGGGUCCGCGAGGGCACUCAGGGUGAGAUGGCCGGCCUCGCUCUCAAAGCCGGAUUUCCUCCAAUAUUUAUACCCCAUUUUGGGGUGCAUCACACACCCAGAGCCCUUAAAGCUCUCUCUGCACCUCCACCCUGCGCUCAGCGCUCGGCUCCGACCAGGCUGCAGAGCCUCACCUCCCGAGAAGCUUGGGCUCUGCAGGGAAGACGUGCUUUCCGUGAUCUAAGAAAACUCUUAUUUCCAAAUAAAAGCUGUCUAACAAUAUGCCAGUACUGAGGUCGGUCAUUGCAUAAAGUGAGGAAACCCAGGAAGUGGUUACACACCAGGAAACCCCUGGGUCGCAGGGGUGUCCAGCGCCGGCUUGGGGACCUCUCUGUCCCACGUGUGAUGUCACCCAGACAGAUACAUGGGCCGGCCACCACCACCUCCUAUCUACACCCCCUGACCCGUCUCAUAGUCUCUGUGGAGACAUGAAUUCACCUUUCUUUCUAGGCUGAGAAAACACCGAAAAGGCUGGGAAACUAGAGCCUGACGGCAAAUAUCAAAAAUCUGUCUGUAUUAUAUUUCAGGGAAAGCAGGACUGAGUAUCUGCACUGUGUCAGGGAUAAGCUGUAACGAGCGACUGAAACAAAAGACAUUCCAUUUUCUGUAAGAGAUUUCAGGUCGGCACACUAUGAUUUCUGAGCCAGGGCAAUGCUCUUCAUAUUUUAUAUUUUUACUCAGUUAUACAUUUUUUCUUACGAGCCACUUCCAUGGCCUUCUCAAUAAUAUAUCUUUAUAUGUAUGAAAGUGUACAGGUGGAUACAUUCUCUCAUCAUUCAUCGUGGGCGGAGUAUACUAACAUUUACCACUCUUUCAGCUUCUCUUUUGAAAAAGAAACCACAAAAUAGGUCACUGAGAACGUUUUCCGGCAAAGACAAAAAUGAUGUUUGUCUUAAGAAUCGAAGUUUUCGAAGAAAAAUAUAUAUAUAUUUCCUUGAUCCAUUUUCUUCCGAAUUCAAACUGGCAUGGAGAGAUUAUAAAAAAGAGUCUAUUUGCACCGCGCGGUGAUGUACAAAACAAGGCAGUAAGAAAGCACAGCCAGACGUCGGCUCUGGCGGGGCGGCUGGCACGCAGCCCUGCAGGCACAGCGCCCACCUCUCUCCUCCACACGCGGGGGUGACCGGGAGACACCAGAGGAAAGGAAACAUACAAAAC